rnacentral:lncRNA from 1 species
UGUCUCUCGUGAUCACUGUAAAUGUCCUUUGAAGCAAGAAAGUACUGACCUGAGGAAGAACCGAACCUGGCUUUCUAAGGAUGCUUUUGGAUGUCUUCGAGCAGGGAUGUUGAAUAUGAUUGUUAUUUACAGGUGGGUACAUUUGUUUGUUUUCUGUCUUUUAGGGCUGGGGUUGGGUAGUUGAGAUAGGAUCUCACAAGGCCCACAUUGGUCCUGAACUCACUGUGUAACUGAGGAUGAUGACUGAACUCCUCGUGAUACUCCUGCC